rnacentral:rRNA from 1 species
UACGAAGGGGGCUAGCGUUGCUCGGAAUCACUGGGCGUAAAGCGCACGUAGGCGGAUUGCUAAGUCAGGGGUGAAAUCCUGGAGCUCAACUCCAGAACUGCCUUUGAUACUGGCGAUCUUGAGCCCGGGAGAGGUGAGUGGAACUGCGAGUGUAGAGGUGAAAUUCGUAGAUAUUCGCAAGAACACCAGUGGCGAAGGCGGCUCACUGGCCCGGUACUGACGCUGAGGUGCGAAAGCGUGGGGAGCAAACAGG